AUUGAACGCUGGCGGCAGGCCUAACACAUGCAAGUCGAGCGAGCGGCGGACGGGUGAGUAAUGUCUGGGAAACUGCCUGAUGGAGGGGGAUAACUACUGGAAACGGUAGCUAAUACCGCAUAUCAUAAGUUGUGCCCAGAUGGGAUUAGCUGGUAGGUGGGGUAACGGCUAACCUAGGCGACGAUCCCUAGCUGGUCUGAGAGGAUGACCAGCCACACUGGAACUGAGACACGGUCCAGACUCCUACGGGAGGCAGCGGUGGGGAAUAUUGCACAAUGGGCGCAAGCCUGAUGCAGCCAUGCCGCGUGGGUGAAGAAGGCCUUCGGGUUGUAAAGCACUUUCAGCGGGGAGGCGUUACCCGCAGAAGAAGCACCGGCUAACUCCGUGCCAGCAGCCGCGGUAAUAC
rnacentral:rRNA from 1 species